GGAAUUUUGGGCAAUGGGCGAAAGCCUGACCCAGCAACGCCGCGUGAGGGAUGAAGUAUUUCGGUAUGUAAACCUCGAAAGAAUGGGAAGAAUAAAUGACGGUACCAUUUAUAAGCUCCGGCUAACUACGUGCCAGCAGCCGCGGUAAUACGUAGGGAGCAAGCGUUGUUCGGAUUUACUGGGCGUAAAGGGCGCGUAGGCGGCGCGGUAAGUCACUUGUGAAAUCUCUGAGCUUAACUCAGAACGGCCAAGUGAUACUGCUGUGCUAGAGUGCGGAAGAGGCAACCGGAAUUCUUGGUGUAGCGGUGAAAUGCGUAGAUAUCAAGAGGAACACCUGAGGCGAAGGCGGGUUGCUGGGCCGACACUGACGCUGAUGCGCGAAAGCCAGGGGAGCAAACG
rnacentral:rRNA from 1 species